rnacentral:tRNA from 1 species
UAGUUCAGUUGGUAGAAUGCCUGCCUCACAUGCACAAGGCCCUGGGUUCAAUCCCCAG